rnacentral:lncRNA from 1 species
UAUAAAUACAUAAUGAUUAUAUUGUAUUUAUUUGAUAUAUAUUUUUCAAAAAGAAAAGAAUUUAUUGGUCACAAGCACAAACUAGAGAACAAGGUGUCCCCUAGGGCACUAAAAACAAAUACAAAUUUUCUAAAGCAUAGAGAUACAACUCAAAAACUACCACAAGCUAGACACACCUCCCCUUCCAAAACCAUGUCAUCUUUAUUUAUUGCAGUUCAUUUAUAAUUCUGCAAUGCCAUUUUUAUUCUCAGCCUGUGCAAGAAAUUUGAAUGUUAGAGAGAAAAUUAGAAUCAUGCAAAGAAGUAAUAUGAGUAACAACUCGUUGAAAUAAAAGUAUAAGUUUAAAAGUAACAAAUUGUUGUGUCAACUUACUGUUAAGUACAAACACAAUUUUUACCAAUGCAUCUCAGAACAUGAGGAUAGGCACAACUAUCCGGACAACCUCGUGUGGUACAACUAGGUGGACAAUCUGUGUCGUCAUUACAUCCGUAAACCGCUGUAAUGUAAGCCAAAAAAUUAAGUAAAUGAAAAGGGAUGAAAAGUUGUAUAUAAAAUAAAGAAUAAAAUUUGAGGGGAUGAGAAAAAUGGCGUACAGUAGCCUUCAACUACAACAAGAACUACAAAAAGAUAUAUGAUCAUAAUAUAAACAAACUUAA